rnacentral:rRNA from 1 species
AUGGUUUGCAUCAUCCACAGGAUGAUCCAGUCUUGUAGCUAUACAGUAGAGGUGAAGGUUUGUGGCAGUGGAACCAAAAUCACUGGGGAUUCGAUAUUUAGUUGGCAGAUUAUUGAGGGUAGUAGGACAAGUAUGAAGGAUUUGCUGGCUUGUAUUGCCGGAAAUUUUGCUUUAUGCUCAGAGGAUAAUAUAUUUCUUGAGUACUUUGAUUCCAUUAGUGGCAAAAAUAUCUCUGUGUCAAAUGAUGAAGAAUGCAUGAAAAUGUUUGCCUGUUUUGAUCAUAAUAGAAGUGGCCAUUUGAUCAUCAAAUAUUCCGAGAGAAGUGAUAAUGUUGAUGUUCCAUGUACUCCUUCGAACCAAACACCAUCUAUAGCACUGCCUAGUCAACCAAGUAGCGUCAUUGAUGAAGCUAGUGUAUGCCUAACAGAUACAUAUCUUGACAAUCCGCAUGAAGAAUAUGAACAUGUUGGUGUAGAUGAGGAGGACCAGUACUCAAUUGGCAGUGUUGGUUCCGAUAGUGAUGAUGAGGUCAAAGAAAAAGAUAUACCAAAUAAUGAUUAUGUUGAGGAUAGCAGUGAUGAUGAGGAAUGGGUUGCAGAAGAUGCUAGACCGGAUGCUAUUCCAGAAAAUGCUUAUGACAAAGAAAACCCGCCAAUGCAUGUUGCGCAAAGUACCCCAACAUUGAAGAGUUUAGGUUGGCAAUUGCUACAUAUGUUGUAA